UGCAGUCGAACGGCAGCACGGGAGCAAUCCUGGUGGCGAGUGGCGAACGGGUGAGUAAUGUAUCGGAACGUGCCCAGUCGUGGGGGAUAACGCAGCGAAAGCUGUGCUAAUACCGCAUACGAUCUAUGGAUGAAAGCGGGGGAUCGCAAGACCUCGCGCGAUUGGAGCGGCCGAUAUCAGAUUAGGUAGUUGGUGAGGUAAAGGCUCACCAAGCCGACGAUCUGUAGCUGGUCUGAGAGGACGACCAGCCACACUGGGACUGAGACACGGCCCAGACUCAUACGGGAGGCAGCAGUGGGGAAUUUUGGACAAUGGGCGCAAGCCUGAUCCAGCAAUGCCGCGUGCAGGACGAAGGCCUUCGGGUUGUAAACUGCUUUUGUACGGAGCGAAAAGGCUCUCUCUAAUACAGGGGGCUCAUGACGGUACCGUAAGAAUAAGCACCGGCUAACUACGUGCCAGCAGCCGCGGUAAUACGUAGGGUGCAAGCGUUAAUCGGAAUUACUGGGCGUAAAGCGUGCGCAGGCGGUUAUGUAAGACAGAGGUGAAAUCCCCGGGCUCAACCUGGGAACUGCCUUUGUGACUGCAUAGCUAGAGUACGGCAGAGGGGGAUGGAAUUCCGCGUGUAGCAGUGAAAUGCGUAGAUAUGCGGA
rnacentral:rRNA from 1 species